rnacentral:rRNA from 1 species
UACGAAGGGGGCUAGCGUUGCUCGGAAUCACUGGGCGUAAAGGGUGCGUAGGCGGGUCUUUAAGUCAGGGGUGAAAUCCUGGAGCUCAACUCCAGAACUGCCUUUGAUACUGAGAUCUUGAGUUCGGGAGAGGUGAGUGGAACUGCGAGUGUAGAGGUGAAAUUCGUAGAUAUUCGCAAGAACACCAGUGGCGAAGGCGGCUCACUG